rnacentral:miRNA from 1 species
CGGGGUCCUGAAUUGGUUGAGC